rnacentral:rRNA from 1 species
GACGAACGCUGGCGGCGUGCUUAACACAUGCAAGUCGAACGAAGAGCGAUGGAAGCUUGCUUCUAUCAAUCUUAGUGGCGAACGGGUGAGUAACGCGUAAUCAACCUGCCCUUCAGAGGGGGACAACAGUUGGAAACGACUGCUAAUACCGCAUACGAUCUAACCUCGGCAUCGAGGAUAGAUGAAAGGUGGCCUCUACAUGUAAGCUAUCACUGAAGGAGGGGAUUGCGUCUGAUUAGCUAGUUGGAGGGGUAACGGCCCACCAAGGCGAUGAUCAGUAGCCGGUCUGAGAGGAUGAACGGCCACAUUGGGACUGAGACACGGCCCAGACUCCUACGGGAGGCAGCAGUGGGGAAUCUUCCGCAAUGGACGAAAGUCUGACGGAGCAACGCCGCGUGAGUGAUGACGGCCUUCGGGUUGUAAAGCUCUGUUAAUCGGGACGAAAGGCCUUCUUGCGAAUA